rnacentral:rRNA from 1 species
UACGGAGGGUGCGAGCGUUGUCCGGAAUCACUGGGCGUAAAGGGCGCGUAGGCGGCCUGGCAAGUCGAUGGUGAAAGCCCGAGGCUCAACUUCGGGUCGGCCACUGAUACUGCUGGGCUUGAGUCGACUAGAGGCAGAUGGAAUUCCGGGUGUAGCGGUGGAAUGCGCAGAUAUCAGGAGGAACACCAAUAGCGAAGGCAGCUCGCUGGGACGUUACUGACACUGAGGCGCGAAAGCGUGGGGAGCGAACAGG